UUUCCUCUUCUCCAUCCUCCCA
rnacentral:miRNA from 1 species